rnacentral:rRNA from 1 species
UAUGAAUUUCANUGUCCGGUGAAGUGUUCGGAUCGCUGUGAUGCGGGCGGUUCGCCGCCCGUGACUCUGCGAGAAGUCCAUUGAACCUUAUCAUUUAGAGGAAGGAGAAGUCGUAACAAGGUUUCCGUAGGUGAACCUGCGGAAGGAUCAUUGUCGAGAUCGAAAUAUAUCGAGCGAUCCGGAGAACCUGUGAAUGAGCGGUGGCACCUGUCGUCGCGUAACAGUCGUCCUGGUUGUCGGCCCCGUCGCCUGUCGGGGCCACGACGAGGGGCGAAUGAAACUCAAACCGGCGCAGCUACGCGCCAAGGGAAUAUAGAAGAGACACGAGCUCCGAUGGGGCUCGGUGGCGUGGAGUGCUAUCGCGCACCACAUGGAUCAAAAUGACUCUCGGCAAUGGAUAUCUCGGCUCUCGCAUCGAUGAAGAGCGCAGCGAAAUGCGAUACGUGGUGCGAAUUGCAGAAUCCCGCGAACCAUCGAGAAUUUGAACGCAAGUUGCGCCCGAGGCCAGCUGGCUGAGGGCACGUCCGCCUGGGCGUCAAGCGUUGCAUCGCUCCGUGCCAUCUCUAUACCACCCGAUGGGUGCGAAUGCGGGAGGGUCGGAUGUGGAGAGUGGCUCGUCGUGCCCGCCGGCGCGGCGGGCUGAAGAGUGGGUGAUCGUCUCGUUCGCAACGAGCAGCAAGGGGUGGAGUAAAUUUGUGCCUGUGCUGUCUCGUGUCGGCCUGAGAAGAGAUUAUACCCAGCAGAUGAUCCCGCACCAAGCGUUGAUCCACGGACGGCGGCUUGGAAUGCGACCCCAGGAUGGGCGAGGCCACCCGCUGAGUUUAAGCAUAUCAAUAAGCGGAGGAGAAGAAACUUACGAGGAUUCCCCUAGUAACGGCGAGCGAACCGGGGAAUUCUAACUA